rnacentral:lncRNA from 1 species
GUGAGACAAACCCCAGCCACAUCUCCAGCACACAAGAACUUCCAAACGUCUAAAGCGCAGUGGCCAGGUGUUCCUCCAGAACCGCCUCCCCCAGGAGCUUGCUACAAGUGCCAGAAAGCUGGCCACCAGGCCAAGGAAUGCCCACAGCCCGGGAUUCCUCCUAAGCCAUGUCCCAUCUUUGCAGGACCCCACUAGAAAUUGGACUGUUCCAUUCACCUGGCAGCCACUCCCAGAGCCCCUGAAACUCUGGCCCAAGGCUCUCUGACUGACUCCUUCCCAGAUCUUCUUGGCUUAGCAGCUGAAGACUGACAAUGCCUGAUCGAUCACUUCGGAAGCCUACAGGACCAUCACAGACGCUCUAGGUAACUCUCACAGUGGAGG